UCUUCAGGGUGCUAGCUUCUUUACAGAGAUCAUUCUUUGGAUUGUCAAAUCAAUUUGAUCUUUUGAUUUUCUUCUCAAAAGAGUCAAAUAGAUCUGUAGGAGGAUGAUGACAUCUAAUUUCUUUUUCUAGUUUUCUCUUCUCAAGAGAAAAUUAAAGAUUUAUUGAAGAAGACAAGAGAUCUAAUCUCUUUCUUCUUCCAUCUUGUCCAACCCUUAGACUAGAUCUAGGAAAGAUAGAGGAGAACCAUCCAUCUCAUAUAUCAAAAAUAAAUCAGAUCAAAUCUGAUUUGAAUCAUAUCUAACUCUUGGAUAUCUUUGGGAGAGAGGAAGAGGGAGACAUGUCCAACUCUUGGACAAGGGAGAGGAGAAUUUUUGUGUCCAUCUCAUGGACUAAAAAGGGGAGAGAAAAAUCAGAUCACAUCUGAUUUUUUUGUCCAAUUUUUGGACAUCUAUGG
rnacentral:lncRNA from 1 species